rnacentral:rRNA from 1 species
UACGCAGGGGGCUAGCGUUGCUCGGAAUCACUGGGCGUAAAGGGUGCGUAGGCGGGUUUUUAAGUCAGAGGUGAAAUCCUGGAGCUCAACUCCAGAACUGCCUUUGAUACUGAAAGUCUUGAGUAUGGGAGAGGUGAGUGGAACUGCGAGUGUAGAGGUGAAAUUCGUAGAUAUUCGCAAGAACACCAGUGGCGAAGGCGGCUCACUGGCCCAUUACUGACGCUGAGGCACGAAAGCGUGGGGAGCAAACAGG